CUAAGGUGGAAAAAAGAAAAAAAAAACAAUAAAAUGUAAUACAGCACAUAUACAUGAUUUUAACCAUGUCUCAUCUCAGGUAAAAUUAUACGGAAUUACAGAGUUUAUUCUGUAAUAUCUGUGUAGUAUAUUUAUUAACAUUCUGUUGCACUUUACUUCACUGUGUAUAUUGUAAUAUUACCCUUUAACGGCGCCUUAUAUAUUUCUUAUUAGGCUAGUCAACAUUACAAAAGAUAACAUCAGUCGUCAGUUCUAGUGGCGCAGAUGGUAAAACGCGUGGAUUUCACAUUUUGACGCGAUCGACGCAGGUUCGAAUCCGCCUUUUAGCAAAGUUUUUUCUCCCUUUUCAAAGUUCAAAUCACAUCAAAAAAGCAUUUAUUUUCAAUAAAAAUUAAGGAAAUAAUCAAAAAGUUUUGAGGGAGGGCUUUAUUGUCCCAAUAAGGUGAUAUCCAUUUAAUAAUUUGAAUUAAAAUUAUAAUUUACACUCAAUAAGUUAUUAUUGAAUACUGUUUUAUAUUGUAGUACAAUACUGAGGUGCAGAUAAUUACCACUGUUUGCAAUAAGUAGUUUAAAUUGCAGAAAAUCCUGCUAUCACUUAGUGCAAAUAGCUGAUGCCUUUCUUAUUUUAAUCUGUCCUCUGUCAUGGUUCUUGUUUAUUUAUUUAGUAUCAUUUUGGACAUUUUCUUUUGCUUUGGCAAUUCUGCAUGUGAAAUAUUUAAGCCAAUAAAGUAGUUUUAAAUUCAGUUGACUACAUACAGUAUAUUUUCAGUGUCUGCAUCCUAUUUUAUGCAUGGUGCCUCCAAAAAACCAAACUGAUAACAGUGAUCUUUUUUUUAUUAUUAUUAUUUCAAAGAACAAAACAGAAAAUAUAAUUGUAUAUACAAAUAUAGAUUAAGACCAUAGACUAUAAACAUGACACAUGAAAAAGAAAAAAAAAUUGCAUCUGCUCAUUCUGAAAUUCACCUCCAUCACAAUCAACAAUCAACCGAGCAGUAGCCCUCAAAUUCUUUGAAUGAAUAAAACCCACACAGGACUCCCCUCCUGUCAUUCCUGACAUACGCAGGUGGGCAGUCUUUAAAUACAGUAUCUCACUGCACCGUAGGCACUGGGUCUGUGAAUACGGCACCCAGCACUCCUGUCUGUAUUGUGCAGAAAAUGCACUCCAGUUCACGACACCUAAUUUACAUAAAAGAACAAACAAUAUUAAAUCAUUUUGAGGAAAGGCAAAAGAGCCAUACAAGGAAAAUAUUUUAAAUGUAUUUUUAAAUAUUAUAGGAUGGUGUUAGAAAAAGUGUUGUUUGCUUUGUCUGUAAAGUACCUAAGAGGUUUAAUUUAUAAUCAGCAUUAACCAACUAAAUUAAAAAAGUUUGUCAAGUCAAAAUUUAGGUUGGCUUGGCUUGAGAAAGCAUAGCCUGAAACAAUUUGAAAGUUUUACAGUUGAGGGCAAUACAGUCUUUUUAGUUUUUUUACAAUCAGAAAAAGAAAAAAAAAGAAAAAGAAAAAAAACAGAUAGUUGAGAUGAGACAGACAGACACUCAAAUAUGUUUUACAGUAUUCACUACAUGUUAAGGAGUUAAAGAACUAUCUGUCUAGACAUAUGAAGUGGGCCUCUUCUCUGAAUUUCGUCUCACUGACAAUGUCCCUAAAAAGUCAUAUGAACAUGAAGGUAAAUUUAAGAGGUAACACUUUACAAUAAGGUGUCAUUGGUUAACACUAGUUAAUGUAUUAAUUAACAUGAACUAACAAUGAAUAAUACAUUUGUUACAGUAUCUAUUAAUUUUUGAUAAUGUUAAUGAAAAGAUGACAAAUGAGAAACAUACAUACAUACACACACACAUACAUGUAUGUAUGUAUGUAUGCAUGCAUGUAUUUAUUUUUAUUUUUUCCAAUGCAUGCAAUUCAUUACUUUAUUAAUAUAAGUAUUUCUGCUCUAUUUUAAUACAUCUUUAAAGGCUAAUUUUAGGCGAAAUAAGACUUUUAAAGACCAGCACCAGAAUCCCUGUCACUUCGAAUACUAACACAUAUCAUAAAGCAUGUCAUAAAUGUUUGAAAUUGCACACAUUUGCAAUGACACUGUCUAUGAUUAAGACCAAAGCAUCCUUACAAUUAAAAGUCAACACAACACAAACGCACAAUUAUAAGAAAACAAAUGAAAGUAAAUGUACCGGAAGUGAAUGAUGCAUUACUGAACCGGCGUAUUUACGGUAAAUACAUAGGUAACGUAGGUACGUGACGUCACCGCGCUACUGCGCAUGCGUUUUAUAGACAUACCAUACGUCACUUCGCGCAUGCGCGGUAAACACAUACCUGACGUAGGUACCUGACGUCACCGCGCUACAGUCUGCAGCGAGGAGUACUUGGGCCAAUGAGCGCGCGCGUUGAGCAUUCAAAUCCCGUUUAAACUGAAGCGGAGGAGGUUACCAUAGUAACACGGCGUCAACUCACUCAGCUGACAAGUAGCCAGAAGCUGUAUCUCUGCUGUUUUCACUGCUUUCAGGAGUGGUUUAGUGUCUUCAAAAAGACCGUUAGCAUCACAACCGUUAACUAUAGAGGCUAACAAUUAGAGGAAUGUCCGAAAAAAAUACCUAAAACAGGGGAAGUUACAAAAAAAUUUGUAAUGAGAGCUGCUGACAGAGAUACAGGAAACAGAGAGCUGGAGCGGAGCGGAUCUCCUGUCAAAGAACAUCUCCAAAGCGCCAUGAACCAUCUGACUAGGCAGUUCGUGAAGACGGAUAACCUGGACAGAAGUCAGUUCAAGAUCCGGCCUCCACACCAGACUUCUCACUCACAAGGAUUGCUGUCUACUAGAUAUUAUGUGCACUCUUCAGACUUAGGUUCAUGCAGAUAUUAUUCAGGGACAUGAACACGUGAAUACUGCAAAAAUAGAGAAACUACCUUAUUUAAGAAUUUUGUGUUAAUUGCGUGAACAUUAAACAAAUAUAUAUUUAUUUUACUGGUUUUUGUUUUGUAUUCCAAAGCACCUAAAAGCCAAUUCACACUGCCAUACUCCAACAGGGUGAACACUGACCAAGCAAAACA